rnacentral:rRNA from 1 species
UACGUAGGGGGCGAGCGUUGUCCGGAUUCAUUGGGCGUAAAGCGCGCGUAGGCGGCGCCGCAAGUCGGCCGUGAAAUCUCCAGGCUUAACCUGGAGGGGUCGGGCGAGACUGCGGUGCUCGAGGUGGGCAGAGGGCGGUGGAAUUCCGGGUGUAGUGGUGGAAUGCGUAGAGCUCCGGAGGAACACCAGUGGCGAAGGCGGCCGCCUGGGCCUGGCCUGACGCUGAGGCGCGAAAGCGUGGGGAGCAAACAGG